AGAGUUUGAUCCUGGCUCAGGAUGAACGCUGGCGGCGUGCUUAACACAUGCAAGUCGAACGAACCUUCGGGUUAGUGGCGGACGGGUGAGUAACGCGUGGGAAUCUGCCCUCAGGAGGGGGAUAACGGCUGGAAACGGCCGCUAAUACCCCAUAUGCCGAGAGGUGAAAGGAAAUUCGCCUGAGGAUGAGCCCGCGUCUGAUUAGCUAGUUGGUGGGGUAAGAGCUUACCAAGGCGACGAUCAGUAGCUGGUCUGAGAGGAUGAUCAGCCACACUGGGACUGAGACACGGCCCAGACUCCUACGGGAGGCAGCAGGGGAAUUUUCCGCAAUGGGCGAAAGCCUGACGGAGCAACGCCGCGUGAGGGAUGAAGGCCUCUGGGCUGUAAACCUCUUUUCUCAAGGAAGAAGACAUGACGGUACUUGAGGAAUAAGCCACGGCUAAUUCCGUGCCAGCAGCCGCGGUAAUACGGGAGUGGCAAGCGUUAUCCGGAAUUAUUGGGCGUAAAGCGUCCGCAGGCGGCCCUGUAAGUCUGUCGUUAAAGCGUGGAGCUUAACUCCAUUUAAGCGAUGGAAACUACAGGGCUUGAGUGUGGUAGGGGCAGAGGGAAUUCCCGGUGUAGCGGUGAAAUGCGUAGAUAUCGGGAAGAACACCAGUGGCGAAGGCGCUCUGCUGGGCCAUAACUGACGCUCAUGGACGAAAGCCAGGGGAGCGAAAGGGAUUAGAUACCCCUGUAGUCCUGGCCGUAAACGAUGAACACUAGGUGUCGGGGGAAUCGACCCCCUCGGUGUCGUAGCCAACGCGUUAAGUGUUCCGCCUGGGGAGUACGCACGCAAGUGUGAAACUCAAAGGAAUUGACGGGGGCCCGCACAAGCGGUGGAGUAUGUGGUUUAAUUCGAUGCAACGCGAAGAACCUUACCAGGGUUUGACAUCCUGCGAAUCCCUUGGAAACGAGGGAGUGCCUUCGGGAGCGCAGAGACAGGUGGUGCAUGGCUGUCGUCAGCUCGUGUCGUGAGAUGUUGGGUUAAGUCCCGCAACGAGCGCAACCCACGUCUUUAGUUGCCAGCAUUCAGUUGGGCACUCUAGAGAGACCGCCGGUGAUAAACCGGAGGAAGGUGUGGAUGACGUCAAGUCAUCAUGCCCCUUACAUCCUGGGCUACACACGUACUACAAUGCUACGGACAAAGGGCAGCAAGCUCGCGAGAGUUAGCAAAUCCCAUAAACCGUGGCUCAGUUCAGAUCGUAGGCUGCAACUCGCCUACGUGAAGGAGGAAUCGCUAGUAAUCGCAGGUCAGCAUACUGCGGUGAAUACGUUCCCGGGCCUUGUACACACCGCCCGUCACACCAUGGAAGUUGGCCAUGCCCGAAGUCGUUACUCCAACCC
rnacentral:rRNA from 1 species